AGCGAACGCUGGCGGCAGGCUUAACACAUGCAAGUCGAGCGGGCAUCCUUGUGGUGUCAGCGGCAGACGGGUGAGUAACGCGUGGGAACGUGCCCUUCGGUUCGGAAUAACUCAGGGAAACUUGAGCUAAUACCGGAUACGUGCGAGAGCAGAAAGGUUUAUCUGCCGAAGGAUCGUCCCGCGUCUGAUUAGUUAGUUGGUGAGGUUACGGCUCACCAAGGCGACGAUCAGUAGCUGGUCUGAGAGGAUGAUCAGCCACACUGGCACUGAGACACGGCCCGGACUCCUACGGAAGGCAGGAGUGGGGGAUAGUGGAACACGGGGGCAACGAUGAUCCACCCAUGCCGGGUGAGUGAUGACGGCCGUAGGGAUGAAAAGCUCUUGUCACCGGGACGAUAAUGACGGUACCGGAGGAAAAAGCCCCGGCUAACUACGUG
rnacentral:rRNA from 1 species